CGCUCCUGCAGUAGUGAGUUAUCUCAGUUGAUUUUCACAGCCAGUUACAGAUCAAACUCCUUGUUCUACUCUCCCUUCCCCUCCUCACUGCCGCACUUCACUAGUCUUUA
rnacentral:Y_RNA from 1 species